AGCAAAAGUAACAAUGGAUGUGCACUCUGUAUAUGUGCAGUGCAUUAUAUUCACACUGUAAAGGCUAUUGCCUUUUGUUAGUCUAGUAUUGUGUACCGCCAACUAAACGGACAUGUAUAAAGGGAUUGGACAGAACUUCUCUUUUCAUGUGGAAAUGAAUCCCUUCCAAAGGGACAAAACCGCUUUCACCCUUGGUUAUACAGUGAGGAUUUUAAGGAAAGCACCUUUUUUUCCCUCUACAUCUGAGGGAAAGGAACAAAGAAAAAGUUUGUAUCAGGCAAUAUCAACAGUUCUUUAAAAAAAAAAAAAAAAAGUAUAUUUCAAGAGAAAAAGAAGUGUUGACUUUUGCAAAUGAAUCUCAAGAUUUAUUCAGAGGAGUGAAAUCUUUCACAGUCGCCUACAGUAAAGGAGCACAGAGAUGGAUGCCUUUCUGCCAAGCUUUCAAAUCUCAGAGGACACUUUGAAACAAGGUGGAUGGACAACCUCAAAAAGAAGAGACCUGCGGAGAAUCAAAGCUACUAGUGGGGAACCUUGUGAACUACAUUCGGUUAAUUUGAAAAGCUUAAAUGCGGCAGGCGCAGAACGAGCCCCUCCUCACUCCCCUUCCAAAAGGAUUGAUUACACACCAACUGCUUUUUGCUCCUG